ensembl:snRNA U5 U5 spliceosomal RNA
AUGCUCUGGUUUCUCUUCAGAUCGUAUAAAUCUUUCGCCUUUUACUAAAGAUUUCCGUGGAGAGAAACAAUUCUGAGUCUGUAACCAAUUUUUUGAGGCUUUGCAAUUGCAAGGCU